GGUGAAUAGUGCAAUAAGUAAUGUAUACUCUCAACUGUAUAGUGUCAAGAGUUAACAUUUUGCAUAUUUAUACAGAAAAUUUCCUACAAAGCCAAGCUGUCAUAAUCUUAUGUAAGUGAAUUAACAACAAUCUCUAAUAUUCAAUCUCUAAUAUUAAUAUGAUCUCCUAUCUGGACAAUAUUAAAAUUUUCCCAAUUAUCCCCCCCCCCACUUUUAUAGUGAUUUCUGCUUUUGUUUAAUUUUUUUAAAAACACAGAAUGCAUUCAAGUUUCCCAAAUUGCCCUUCCGUUGCAUUUUGGGCAACAAACCC
rnacentral:lncRNA from 1 species